CCCUGGUAGUCCACGCCGUAAACGAUGUCGACUUGGAGGUUGUUCCCUUGAGGAGUGGCUUCCGGAGCUAACGCGUUAAGUCGACCGCCUGGGGAGUACGGCCGCAAGGUUAAAACUCAAAUGAAUUGACGGGGGCCCGCACAAGCGGUGGAGCAUGUGGUUUAAUUCGAUGCAACGCGAAGAACCUUACCUACUCUUGACAUCCAGAGAACUUAGCAGAGAUGCUUUGGUGCCUUCGGGAACUCUGAGACAGGUGCUGCAUGGCUGUCGUCAGCUCGUGUUGUGAAAUGUUGGGUUAAGUCCCGCAACGAGCGCAACCCUUAUCCUUUGUUGCCAGCGAUUCGGUCGGGAACUCAAAGGAGACUGCCGGUGAUAAACCGGAGGAAGGUGGGGAUGACGUCAAGUCAUCAUGGCCCUUACGAGUAGGGCUACACACGUGCUACAAUGGCGCAUACAAAGAGAAGCGACCUCGCGAGAGCAAGCGGACCUCAUAAAGUGCGUCGUAGUCCGGAUCGGAGUCUGCAACUCGACUCCGUGAAGUCGGAAUCGCUAGUAAUCGUGGAUCAGAAUGCCACGGUGAAUACGUUCCCGGGCCUUGUACACACCGCCCGUCACACCAUGGGAGUGGGUUGCAAAAGAAGUAGGUAGCUUUACCCUUCGGGAGGGCGCUUACCACUUUGUGAUUCAUGACUGGGGUGA
rnacentral:rRNA from 1 species